rnacentral:pre_miRNA from 1 species
AGGAGGAACAAUCACAGUGGCUGCGGCCAGCUCUGGAGGCCUGGAGUCAGCUCCCGCAGUAACUACAGAGCUCUCAGUCUCCAGGGGCAUGGAGGCUUUGGGGGAGG